CAGAGGGCGCGAGCGUUGUCCGGAAUCACUGGGCGUAAAGGGCGCGUAGGUGGCCACUAUAAGGCUGCGGUGAAAGUUCGGGGCUCAACCCCGAAUCUGCCGCGGCGACUGUAGGGCUUGGGCACUGUAGAGGCAGAUGGAAUUCCGGGUGUAGCGGUGGAAUGCGUAGAGAUCCGGAAGAACACCAGUGGCGAAGGCGGUCUGCUGGGCAGUGGGAGCGCAAGCUCCUCUUAGCCGACACUGAGGCGCGACAGCGUGGGGAGCAAACAGGAUUAGAUACCCUGGCAGUCCACGCCGUAAACGAUGGGCACUAGGUGCUUUGGGGAGCGACCCCCGGGGUACCGGCGCUAACGCAUGAAGCGCCCCGCCUGGGGAGUACGGCCGCAAGGCUG
rnacentral:rRNA from 1 species